GCGAAAGUGGUGAAAUGGCAGACACGCAAGUCUUAGGAACUUGUCCCGUAAGGGGUGGGGGUUCGAGUCCCCCCUUUCGCA
rnacentral:tRNA from 1 species